rnacentral:rRNA from 1 species
CUUCUAGAGCUAAUACAUGCAGGUUAGCCCGACUUCUCGGAAGGGCUGUAUUUAUUAGAUAACAGACCAAUAUUCCUUCGUGUCUAUUGUGGUGACUCAUAGUAACUGAUCGGAUCGCAUGGCCUUGUGCCGCGAUAAACCAUUCAAGUUUCUGACCCAUCAGCUUUCGAUGGUAGUGUAUUGGACUACCAUGGCUUUCACGGGUAACGGAGGAUUAGGGUUCGAUUCCGGAGAGGGAGCCUGAGAAACGGCUACCACAUCUAAGGAAGGCAGCAGGCGCGUAAAUUACCCAAUCCUGAUUCAGGGAGGUAGUG